rnacentral:rRNA from 1 species
UAAGGAAUAUUGGUCAAUGGAGGCAACUCUGAACCAGCCAUGCCGCGUGAAGGAUUAAGGCCCUCUGGGUUGUAAACUUCUUUUAUAUGGGAAGAAAUGUUCUGAUUCUUCAGAGCUUGACGGUACCAUAGGAAUAAGCACCGGCUAACUCCGUGCCAGCAGCCGCGGUAAUACGGAGGGUGCAAGCGUUAUCCGGAUUCACUGGGUUUAAAGGGUGCGUAGGUGGGCAGAUAAGUCAGUGGUGAAAUCUUCCGGCUUAACCGGAAAAUUGCCGUUGAUACUAUGGGUCUUGAAUAUUGUGGAGGUAAGCGGAAUAUGUCAUGUAGCGGUGAAAUGCUUAGAUAUGACAUAGAACACCAAUUGCGAAGGCAGCUUACUAUAUAAUUAUUGACACUGGGGCACGAAAGCGUGGGUAGCGAACA